CCUACGGGAGGCAGCAGUGGGGAAUAUUGGACAAUGGGGGGAACCCUGAUCCAGCCAUGCCGCGUGUGUGAAGAAGGCCCUCGGGUUGUAAAGCACUUUCAGUGAGGAAGAACGCCUGGUGGUUAAUACCCAUCAGGAAAGACAUCACUCACAGAAGAAGCACCGGCUAACUCCGUGCCAGCAGCCGCGGUAAUACGGAGGGUGCGAGCGUUAAUCGGAAUUACUGGGCGUAAAGCGCGCGUAGGUGGCUUGAUAAGCCGGUUGUGAAAGCCCCGGGCUCAACCUGGGAACGGCAUCCGGAACUGUCAAGCUAGAGUGCAGGAGAGGAAGGUAGAAUUCCCGGUGUAGCGGUGAAAUGCGUAGAGAUCGGGAGGAAUACCAGUGGCGAAGGCGGCCUUUUGGACUGACACUGACACUGAGGUGCGAAAGCGUGGGUAGCAAACAGGAUGAGAUACCCUAGUAGUC
rnacentral:rRNA from 1 species